GCUCAAUGAUAGAAGCCCUACAGCUAAGCUUGCUCUGUACUUUUCCAGAACAGCUUUCAGCACUGUGGAGAUGAUGGCUUGAGCUGGGAAAGGAUAGCCAUGACUGAUGCUUUGAACUCCUAGGGCCCAGCAGCUCAUUUUUAGGACACACAUGCUCCUUGGAUUCAUAGGAGCGAGAGGAGCCCAUGGAGUAUGGCUCUUUGCCUUGGCUGGUUGAAGAGAUCCACAUGCGUCUCUGUCUACUUUUGUGGCUGUCUCCCUGCUCUGUUGCUCGCCUGAGGCACCUUCCGCAGAUGAAUGGGCAUUGUUUAUUAUUCCACUAAUUUCUUGGUGGGCACGUCACUUCACCUUGGCUCCAGUUUCCCAAAAGCCACUGAACAAGUGUCUAGAAUCCAUGCAGCGUUCAGAUGACCUGUGUCCCCCUCUUUUCUUUCCUCUCCUCAACCCUUGCCAGA